rnacentral:rRNA from 1 species
CGUUUGGAAACGAACGCUAAUACGGUAUGAGCUCUACGGAGUAAAGAUUUAUCGCCAGAGGAUGAGCCCGCGUAGGAUUAGAUAGUUGGUGGGGUAACGGCCUACCAAGUCGACGAUCUUUAGCUGUUCUGAGAGGAAGAUCAGCCACACUGGAACUGAGACACGGUCCAGACUCCUACGGGAGGCAGCAGUGGGGAAUAUUGGACAAUGGGGGCAACCCUGAUCCAGCCAUGCCGCGUGAGUGAAGAAGGCCUUAGGGUUGUAAAGCUCUUUCGCUAGGGAAGAUAAUGACGGUACCUAGUAAAGAAGUCCCGGCUAACUCCGUGCCAGCAGCCGCGGUAAUACGGAGGGGACUAGCGUUGUUCGGAAUUACUGGGCGUAAAGAGUACGUAGGCGGUUUAUCAAGUUGGGUGUGAAAGCCCGGGGCUCAACCCCGGAACUGCACUCAAAACUGGUAGACUAGAGAUCGGAAGAGGUAAGUGGAAUUCCCAGUGUAGAGGUGAAAUUCGUAGAUAUUGGGAAGAACACCAGUGGCGAAGGCGGCUUACUGGUCCGACACUGACGCUGAGGUACGAAAGCGUGGGGAGCAAACAGGAUUAGAUACUCUGGUAGUCCACGCCGUAAACGAUGAAUGCUAGUUGUUGGGAGGUAUACCUUUCAGUGACGCAGCUAACGCAUUAAGCAUUCCGCCUGGGGAGUACGGUCGCAAGAUUAAAACUCAAAGGAAUUGACGGGGGCCCGCACAAGCGGUGGAGCAUGUGGUUUAAUUCGAAGCAACGCGCAGACCUUACCAGCCCUUGACAU